rnacentral:rRNA from 1 species
AGUCGACGAACUCUUCGGAGUUAGUGGCGCACGGGUGCGUAACGCGUGGGAAUCUGCCCUUGGGUACGGAAUAACUCAGAGAAAUUUGUGCUAAUACCGUAUAAUGUCUUCGGACCAAAGAUUUAUCGCCCAAGGAUGAGCCCGCGUAAGAUUAG